AGGGUUCGAUUAUGGCUCAGAACGAACGCUGGCGGCAGGCCUAACACAUGCAAGUCGAGCGCGCCUUCGGGCGAGCGGCGGACGGGUUAGUAACGCGUGGGAACGUGCCCAGAUCUACGGAAUAGCCACUGGAAACGGUGAGUAAUACCGUAUACGCCCUUCGGGGGAAAGAUUUAUCGGAUUUGGAUCGGCCCGCGUUAGAUUAGGUAGUUGGUGGGGUAACGGCCUACCAAGCCUACGAUCUAUAGCUGGUUUUAGAGGAUGAUCAGCAACACUGGGACUGAGACACGGCCCAGACUCCUACGGGAGGCAGCAGUGGGGAAUCUUGGACAAUGGGGGCAACCCUGAUCCAGCCAUGCCGCGUGAGUGAAGAAGGCCCUAGGGUCGUAAAACUCUUUCGCCUGUGAUGAUAAUGACAGUAGCAGGUAAAGAAACCCCGGCUAACUCCGUGCCAGCAGCCGCGGUAAU
rnacentral:rRNA from 1 species